GGCUGGUCAGAAGCAGUAUGGUUUACAACUAAUUGAUCACAACCACUUACAGAUUUAUUUGUUCCUUCUCCCCUCCCACUACUUCAUUUGACUAGCCUUAA
ensembl:misc_RNA Y_RNA Y RNA